rnacentral:rRNA from 1 species
AGCGAACGCUGGCGGCAGGCUUAACACAUGCAAGUCGAACGGGCAUCUUCGGAUGUCAGUGGCAGACGGGUGAGUAACACGUGGGAACGUACCCUUCGGUUCGGAAUAACUCAGGGAAACUUGAGCUAAUACCGGAUACGCCCUUUUGGGGAAAGGUUUACUGCCGAAGGAUCGGCCCGCGUCUGAUUAGCUUGUUGGUGGGGUAACGGCCUACCAAGGCGACGAUCAGUAGCUGGUCUGAGAGGAUGAUCAGCCACACUGGGACUGAGACACGGCCCAGACUCCUACGGGAGGCAGCAGUGGGGAAUAUUGGACAAUGGGCGCAAGCCUGAUCCAGCCAUGCCGCGUGAGUGAUGAGGGCCUUAGGGUUGUAAAGCUCUUUUGUCCGGGACGAUAAUGACGGUACCGGAAGAAUAAGCCCCGGCUAACUUCGUG